GACGUAGGGGGCAAGCGUUGUUCGGAAUUAUUGGGCGUAAAGCGCUCGUAGGCGGGACUGGAAGUCCGUGUUGAAAGACCUCGGCUCAACUGAGGGACCGGCUCGGAUACUCUAGUUCUUGAGGCAAUCAGAGGGUGAUGGAAUUCCCGGUGUAGCGGUGAAAUGCGUAGAUAUCGGAAGAACACCAGUGGCGAAGGCGACUUACUGGACACAUAUUGACGCUGAGGUGCGAAAGCGUGGGGAGCAAACAGG
rnacentral:rRNA from 1 species